rnacentral:lncRNA from 1 species
GUACUCUAUCCUGAGUCAUUUAUCCACCUGUAUAGGUCUUAAAGUGCUUCAUGCAUAGAUAUCAAAGCAUUCCAUCUUCUUUCCUCUAUUCGCCUAUAUAGAAACACUUAUGCUCUAUCCUUCAUCCAUAUGAACAAAUCUCAAAGCACUUCAUUCUCUAUCAUCCAUCCACAUGCAUUGAUAUUAAAGCGUUCAAUUUUCUAUCAUCCAUCCGCUUGCAUAGAUCUCAAAGCGCUCCAUCCUUUGUCCUCCAUCCAAAUGUAUAAAUAUCAAAGCACUUCAUCCUCUAUUAUUUGUUUGCCUACAUAAUCUCAAUGCGCUCCAUCCUCUAUCGUUCAUCCAUAUGUA